rnacentral:rRNA from 1 species
AUGAACGCUGGCGGCGUGCCUAAUACCUGCCAGUCGCGCGAACAGACGAGGAGCUUGCUCCUCUGACGUUAGCGGCGGACGGGUGAGUAACACGUGGAUAACCUACCUAUAAGACUGGGAUAACUUCGGGAAACCGGAGCUAAUACCGGAUAAUAUAUUGAACCGCAUGGUUCAACAGUGAAAGACGGUUUUGCUGUCACUUAUAGAUGGAUCCGCGCCGCAUUAGCUAGUUGGUAAGGUAACGGCUUACCAAGGCAACGAUGCGUAGCCGACCUGAGAGGGUGAUCGGCCACACUGGAACUGAGACACGGUCCAGACUCCUACGGGAGGCAGCAGUAGGGAAUCUUCCGCAAUGGGCGAAAGCCUGACGGAGCAACGCCGCGUGAGUGAUGAAGGUCUUCGGAUCGUAAAACUCUGUUAUUAGGGAAGAACAAAUGUGUAAGUAACUAUGCACGUCUUGACGGUACCUAAUCAGAAAGCCACGGCUAACUACGUG